GGAGUUGAUCUCUGUCUGGUGUCUGUCCUACUUCUUCCAUUCGCUCGUUUCCAUCCCUUUCGCUUUACCUUCCGAUUCUAGAAAUACAAACAAGUAAACAGCUUCCACAGUACCAUCCACCCAUCAAGACCUAAAGUCCUAAAUCCUGAAAUUGUCCGCUGUUUCUCGAGGUCCUUCCCACCGAAUCUCAACAUCUGAACUGCAAGUGGUUUGCUUUUACUCAUUUUACAGAUGAGAAACUGAGAUAGACUCAGAGAAGAGAAAUUAUUAAAAUUGCAUUGAGUUAGGGAGCUGGAACU
rnacentral:lncRNA from 1 species